AGACUUAUUUCCCUCUAAAUGAUAUUUAAAUGGGACAUGUAGAGCUACCUAGGAAGAGUAUAGAUUGGGAAGAGAAGGGGCCCUAGGUCAUAUCCCUGUGGACAUUCCAACGUUUCAGUGUCAUGAAGAAGCAAGAUGCAGCAAGAGUCAAAAGAAGAAACUGAGAUUGAGUAACUAUGAAGGCAUGGCCACAGCAAGUGAUAGAAAAAUCAGGAGAGAGUGCUAUCGCAGAAGCCAAUGAGAAAGAGUGUUUCAAGAGGGAAUGAUGUCCACCUGCAUCAAAUACUGCUCAGAAAUCAGGUGCUGUUGAAUAUGGGUAAUCUACAUCCUGUUGCCUGAAGCUUGAAGUUCUCAUCUGCCCCCUCUCAGUAUGUACUUGUGAAAGAUGCAGACCUCAUCUGAGUUGAAGUAACCUAGGAGACCAAAAUAAAUGAUUCCUGCAGAAAGCUUGAGUGACAUUUUCAGAGCUGCAAUCCCUGCUUCUUCUUAAAAUGGCUAUAUACAUUGUAGGUUGGGAGGGUCAGAAGGCUGAUCACGGAAAUAUCUCGGAGGUAGAGUGGUGUGUGGGAGUAGGCAAUGAGAGAGGUAAGAGGACAAAAUGUAGAGAAGGAAGCAGAAUGGGCUAUCACCUUCUUUUGUUUCUUCCCACUGUAUGUGCCCCCAAGGAAGCCCCUCAGCUGCUCCCUUCCUUGCCCCC
rnacentral:lncRNA from 1 species